rnacentral:rRNA from 1 species
UGGGGAAUUUUGGACAAUGGGCGAAAGCCUGAUCCAGCAAUGCCGCGUGUGUGAAGAAGGCCUUCGGGUUGUAAAGCACUUUUGUCCGGAAAGAAAUCCUUGGCCCUAAUACAGUCGGGGGAUGACGGUACCGGAAGAAUAAGCACCGGCUAACUACGUGCCAGCAGCCGCGGUAAUACGUAGGGUGCAAGCGUUAAUCGGAAUUACUGGGCGUAAAGCGUGCGCAGGCGGUUUGCUAAGACCGAUGUGAAAUCCCCGGGCUCAACCUGGGAACUGCAUUGGUGACUGGCAGGCUAGAGUAUGGCAGAGGGGGGUAGAAUUCCACGUGUAGCAGUGAAAUGCGUAGAGAUGUGGAGGAAUACCGAUGGCGAAGGCAGCCCCCUGGGCCAAUACUGACGCUCAUGCACGAAAGCGUGGGGAGCAAAACAGGAUUAGAUACCCUGGUAGUCCACGCCCUAAAACGAUGUCAACUAGUUGUUGGGGAUUCAUUUCCUUAGUAACGUAGCUAACGCGUGAAGUUGACCGCCUGGGGAGUACGGUCGCAAGAUUAAAACUCGAAGGAAUUGAC